UACGUAGGGUGCAAGCGUUGUCCGGAAUUAUUGGGCGUAAAGAGCUCGUAGGCGGUUUGUCGCGUCUGCUGUGAAAACUCGGGGCUUAACCCCGGGCCUGCAGUGGGUACGGGCAGACUAGAGUGCGGUAGGGGAGACUGGAAUUCCUGGUGUAGCGGUGAAAUGCGCAGAUAUCAGGAGGAACACCAGUGGCGAAGGCGGCUGCCUGGACCUUUGCUGACGCUAAUGCGCGAAAGCGUGGGGAGCGAUCCGG
rnacentral:rRNA from 1 species